rnacentral:rRNA from 1 species
ACUCAAAUGAAUUGACGGGGGCCCGCACAAGCGGUGGAGCAUGUGGUUUAAUUCGAUGAUACGCGAGGAACCUUACCUGGGCUUGAAAGUUAGUGACCGUUCCUGAAAGGGAGCUUCCCGCAAGGGCACGAAACUAGGUGCUGCAUGGCUGUCGUCAGCUCGUGCCGUGAGGUGUCGGAUUAAGUUCCAUAACGAGCGCAACCCCUAUCUUUAGUUGCCAGCGAGUAAUGUCGGGGACUCUAGAGAAACUGCCCGUGUAAGCGGUGAGGAAGGUGGGGACGACGUCAAGUCAUCACGGCCCUUACGUCCAGGGCUACACACGUGCUACAAUGGCGAGGACAACGGGUAGCAAACCAGCGAUGGGGAGCCAAUCCUUAAACCUCGUCUCAGUUCGGAUUGGAGUCUGCAACCCGACUCCAUGAAGCUGGAAUCGCUAGUAAUCGCGCAUCAGCCAUGGCGCGGUGAAUACGUUCCCGGGCCUUGCACACACCGCCCGU